rnacentral:misc_RNA from 1 species
UACGGAGGGGGCUAGCGUUGUUCGGAAUUACUGGGCGUAAAGCGCACGUAGGCGGAUUGUCUAGUCAGAGGUGAAAGCCCAGGGCUCAACCCUGGAAUUGCCUUUGAUACUGGCAGUCUGGAGUCCGGGAGAGGUGAGUGGAAUUCCGAGUGUAGAGGUGAAAUUCGUAGAUAUUCGGAGGAACACCAGUGGCGAAGGCGGCUCACUGGCCCGGUACUGACGCUGAGGUGCGAAAGCGUGGGGAGCAAACAGG